rnacentral:piRNA from 1 species
UCGGCCACACAAAGAAGAAUGAUCCUGCCC